UACGAAGGGGGGCUAGCGUUGCUCGGAAUGACUGGGCGUAAAGGGCGCGUAGGCGGUGUACACAGUCAGGCGUGAAAUUCCCGGGCUCAACCUGGGGGCUGCGCUUGAUACAUGUACGCUUGAGUUCGGAAGAGGGUCGUGGAAUUCCCAGUGUAGAGGUGAAAUUCGUAGAUAUUGGGGAAGAACACCGGUGGCGAAGGCGGCGACCUGGUCCGAUACUGACGC
rnacentral:rRNA from 1 species